AGCUGGGAAAACGGCAAUGGAUUAAUAACAAGAAAUCAAUGGUGAAGUGGUGACUAAAAUUCUACAUUGCUCAGAAAGCAAAUAGUGAAAUGAACAUUUACAUUCUGGCAACCUCAGAAGUACAAUGAACAAAGGACACCAGCCAGGUAGGGCGUUCCCUUUUGCUGUUACAUGUUUAUCAGAUGCAUGCUCUGUUUCUGUUAUAUUACAUUAUUUUUCUCUUCAAUGUUUACUGAGGAAGAACAAGUAACUCCUCAUGCAAGUCAACUGUUAACUUUGCAGUUUUUAUUUAAUCUCCCAGGAAUGUAACUCUUAACUUUAAAGAAUGUAGUGACCAUAAAGCUUAUAAAGCAUGUUUCUUAAGGAAAUUGUACCUGUUUAUUUAAUCUAUCAGGUAUGAAUGUUAUAGAAAAUUAAAUUUGUCCACUUAAGCUGUAGAUGAACUUUUCGCCUUUCUGAUCAGAAAUUCACCAUCUUAUAAUAUAGGUUCUGUUAU
rnacentral:antisense_RNA from 1 species